rnacentral:lncRNA from 1 species
GGGAGUGUUUGGGCUGAGCCCGAGACUUCCAUAGAACGAGGCUGUCCACUCUAGCUCUUUGAAGCCCUAGAAGGGUUGCUUUGGAGGUGUUAGUUUUAAAAGUCUUUCUCUUUUAAGCUGUAUCCCAUCAGCUUUAAUUAUAGCAAUGACUCGAGUACUAUCAGUAGGAGUCCAGAACUGUGGCCGACUCUGGAGAUCCCAAAAUGAACAAAUCAAGGUUCCGGCUCCCAAGGCCUUCUUAACUGGGUGUGCGGACUUGAAGGAUCUCCUACAGGAUGCCACAGUACAGUUGAUGGUCAUGUGUCCUCUCGGCUGUGACAGCUACUCGGACUUUCCCUAUUUUUGAUGACCUUCACAGUUUUGAGGACUACUGGUCAGGUCAGUUUUGGCUAAGGAAUGAAGACAAUGGCCACUGCAUUCCAAGAUACCACCGGGACAGUAAUUCUCAGUUGACCACGGAAAACCUGAAGAGAGGAGUCACUGACAUGGGAGGUAAGAGUUAAGAGGAGUUUGUGGGUGUAUGUGUGUUUGGAGGCA